ACUCGUUUAGCUCAAUUGGUAGAGCGUAAGGCUUUUAACCUUGUGGUCGUGGGUUUGAGCCCAUGGUGGGAG
rnacentral:tRNA from 1 species